GCCGGUGUGGUGGAACUGGCAGACGCGCCGGACUCAAAAUCCGGUGGGGGCAACCCCGUGUCGGUUCGAUUCCGACCACCGGCACCA
rnacentral:tRNA from 1 species